rnacentral:lncRNA from 1 species
CCACUGGGAGUGUGAGAGUUAUGACAUCUUAAGGGAUGUCCAAAUCACUGCAGUUUUGACAGCCAUCAUGAUUUAAAAUGGCAUCCAACUGUAGUCAAACCAAAACCUACUCCUCAGUCUCAGGAACCAUCAGACAAAAUUUGGUGAUGAUGUCUUAAGAGGUGUCCAAACGCUGAUAAAGGUUUAGUACAACCUUUUAAAAAGGCAUCCAAUUGUAGGCAAACAGAGAUGAAAAUAUUCUCCUUGAUUUCAGGAACCAUUGCAUCAAAUUCUGUGGCAAUCUGUUGAAAGCCAUCUGAAUGCAUAGAUGGAGAGGCAAAAAACUUUCCAAAAUAUAGAUUCAAUGACGAUGGUGGCUAAUUCCUUCUUAUGACUAGGAAAGGUUAAAAGUCUUAAAUAGAAAGCUAGGUGCAUUUUUACAUAAACAGUAUAUUUGCAAUUUGCAAAUCAUAGUAUAGCCAAAUGUAUGUUGGAUAUCUAAGGGACACCUACAUGUCAUCUUUAAAAGGUGGAGAAUACUGUUCAGGUAGCAGUCUGUGUCUUUAUGGCACUUUAUUUCCACACCACCUGCUGCAAUUAGACAAAAUUACUAAGUGGCUAGAAUGGUAACUUUAUCUAUCAGCUGAUAUUAUAAUUAAUGACUAUGGAGCUCCUAUUAUUGUGUACUUCCAAGACAUCAAGUGGAAAGCUGUUGUCAUGCUUUAAAUAAUGAAAAAGUUUCAGGUCUUGAUAAAUGGCUCAGUUGGAUGCAGUUUAGAAAGUUGAGAGCAUAUGCUUCUGUCAUUAGGAACUAAGGAUUAGUUACCCUUCAUACGACUCUUCAGAUCUCUCUAAUUCUUUUAGGUAUUGUUCAAAAUGCGAAAGUAUAAUAAGAAAAUGGUGUGUGGAAAAUUCAGUAGAUGACUGCUAUCAUUUAUUACCAUUUUUAAAGCAACUAGAAGAAAUAUUGUAAAAGUUGUAAUCUUUUGUUUAGAUGGCAGCUGUUAUUUCUGCUUCUGCUUCCUUUUCUUUAGCAAUCUUUUUUUUAAAAAAAGUGUCCAAUAAUUUAAUAAAACAAACUAAAAUUGCAAUUUUUGAAGUAAUAUAAUGACAAAAAAAUGAAAUGAUGCUGUGACUGUGUGCUUUUCCAUCUUGAUUUUUUUGCAUUUCUGAAGGUCUGCUUUUGUCUCCGUAAAUGUCUAGCACUGGAGCAAUUUGCAUUAUUUGGGGGUGUAAAUGUUUUCCAGAUUUGUCUAAUUUUGUUAGACUGCUUUGUGUCAUCUGAGAAUCACUAAUUAUUCACAGCAUACUACUUCCCUACUUCUGUUAGCAAGGUGUCUCUACUUCUGUUAAGCAAUACUAAUAUGGGUAUUGAGGUGAAAAAACAACAUUGCUAAUUCUUCUGGUUAUCAUCCCACCCCUCUUAACCUUGUAAUGGAGGUAAGUUAUUUUACAUUUCCCACCAAUCCCUACAUACCUCCUAUUUUUAAUAAAGCAAAUUGCGUGCCCUUUCAAACAUUUUUUUGCACUUUCCAUGCCCAAGAGAUGAAAAAUUCAGAGUGGUCUUAUGUCAAAAAAGAAAAGUGGAGAAUAAUAAAAAACAAAACAAAACAGCUUUUCAGUAGGUGCUGGAGGUCCUGUAGGGAUGGGGCCUGUCUGACCUCAAGAGGAAAUGUGUUCCGUAAACUUGGGCCCAAAAUACUAAAUACAUGACUGUGAGUUGUGCAUCCUAGCCAUGGGGAACCACUAACAGUGACACCCUCAAAGGUCUCAGUGAUGGGGCAGGGAUACAAGGGAUUGUACUGCCCUUGAUUUAUCUUAGAUCCAAAUUGUUAAGUGUCUUGUAAAGUAAUACAAGAAUCUUGAACCUGACCCGGUAGUGUAUGGGCAUCUAGUACAAACUUUUGAGCACUGGAAUUAUGUACUGCUUGUAGUCUGUCCCUAUCAAAAUUCUAGCCACAACAUUUUUCAUCAGCAGGAGCCCCUAGACCAGGGCCAAAGAUAGCUCCACAUAGAGCACAUUGCAAUAAUUGAGUCUUGAGGUUAUCAAUGCAUAGAUCACUAUGGCCAGGCUAUCCCUGCCCAAGAACAGCCGGGCUGGUAAAAGGCACUCCUAGCCAAUGAGCUUCCAUUGACAAAGGUGAAUCCAGGAACACCCCCAAACUUCAAACUUAUUUUUCCAGAGAGAGUUCAACCCCAUCCAGAACUGACAACUGGCCGAUCUCUCAGGUAUAGGAACCACCAAGGUAGUACCACAUUCAUAGCUAUGUUAAGUCCAGGCUGCAAAAAUGUGAAACCAGCCCAGUUCAAAAUGCUGCUUUCAGCUCUUCUUAUUCACAUUUAAAAAAUCCAAUACAAACUAAUCUGAUCUGCCUGAUCAGCUUGAUAAUAGGUGAAUAUUUGGGAAAGGUUCAGAAAUGAUCCAAAAUGAUAAUGGGGCUUAAAGGACACCCCUAUGUGGAAAGGUAUGCAGGCUUUCCACAGACACCUUGUUGACCACUGUGAGAAUAGGACACAGAACCUGAUUGGCCUUUGGUCUUAUCCAGCAGGCUUUUCUUAUGUUUGUACUCAACUGCAGCUGCUGAUAUAACACUUGGUCAAACAAUUUGUCAAACAAAUAUAUUUCCCAAAUAGCCUGGAAAACAAGUACCCUUCUUUCCUUUGAAAUGUAUGAAUGAUAGGAUAUUGUGCUGGAUAUCAGUAUAGCAGAAUAGGGUAAGCAGGGAAGCUAACAUGGUGCACCUUCAGAUGUUAUACUACAUUCCUGACCACUGACCAUAAUUGUGGAACUACUGGAGGGCUAUCCCUGGACUAUUAGUGAUGCAUCAUAGUGGAUGGGGAGUGGGCAUUGAUAUUUUGUGUGAGAAUACCUAUUUUUCAUCUGUGAAAUGUUGGAGAAUACCCUACGUGGGCAAACUAUUGUAUGUGUUGGUAUGAGCAGGUGCCCAGCUGUUUGUCAUUUUCUACUGCUCCACACCCUCUUAGUGUUUAAAUAAAAUAUUUAGCCUUUGUAUGAAAUCUUAAAUUGCUUUGCGAUUAUCUUGGACACUCAAAAACAAGACCCACUUGAAAGCCAAAUCCAAGCAUAGAUAUUCCGUGGCACGUCUUACAAUCUAAAUAUUGCUCUUAGCCUAAUCGAAGCAGCAAGAGUAGUCACAGCAGUUGAUGGACUAUUUUUCAAAUUGAUUUCAAAAAUGUAUUUAAGGGGAUGAUCUUCUACUCUAGAUUACCUAUUGAUUUUUAAUAUGAAAAGCUCAUUAUAUAAGCAGUAACUGCAUAUAAAAACCUAGCAAACCUUUGCAUAAAUCCUUUAAUUGAAUUUCCAGAGCCUGUGGUUCUACUUUUUUUUUUUAAUUAAAUCUAUUUCUUUUUUUAAGUGUUACUGUGUAAUUUGCAUGCUGUGAAGUGGCCCUGUCCCAGAUAAAGUGCCAUUGAUCCUUAUUAAACCUCACCUCUGGGCUUGCUGAAAACUAACCGGAAAAAUUAAAGUGUUCAUGCUGCAAUGCACUUACUGCUUGUGUGAUAGGAUUAUGGAAAAAAUAAUAAAACUAAUUUCCAAGACAGAAUUUAUAAUGCAAGAUUUUAUUUUUUUAUUUUUUUCAGUUUGAUAAGUAAUAGCAAAAUCCUAUCCAAAUAUAAAUCAUAUUUUAGCUAGCAACUGCAGCAGUAAUUUGGAAAGAUAAUGUAUAUUUGAUAUAAUGUCAUCAUGUAUGUGGCUAAUCUUUUGUGUUUUAAUUUUUUAAACUGUAAAUUGAACUGAUGAUGGCUUCAGCUAAACAGAUUAAACAGAGAUUGGAACUAAAAGCUGUCUCUUAUGGUGUACAAUAUCUUACAUUAGUAGCAAUUUCCAUUUUAUUACUUUGUUAUAUAUAUAUAUUUACAAAUUUUGUGUUAACGAUUUAUGGAUUGCAAUUACCAUGAGAGAGGGGGGUGGGAAUGCAACUGGGUAUUUUUAUCUCUCUUUGUCCUCCCCACCUCAUUUUUAUGUAAUACAAAACAUUUGUUAUUUUAGAAGCAAUAAAAUCCCCUAAAGAAAUAUUCAUAAUCAAUAAGAACACAAAAUAUGGAAUAUAUUAACUGAGUUAUAAAAAUGUUUGUAGUACGGCACAAAAUGAAAAACACAGCAAGUUAUGUACAGUUUAAAGUGUAAUCAAUUUUAAAGUUGCAUAUGAGGAUAUAAAUGAUAAACAGAAGUAGUAGCAUUUUUAGUAAAGGCUGUAACAAAAAUAAUAUAUUUAUGGCCUACUCCGUUCUUUUUAUAGCUCAUUAAUGUAGAAAACAAACACUGUGUAUCCAUCUUUUUGAACAGCUUAAAAUUCCCUUAAAUGAUAAUUUUUAAAAUGGAAGCAGUGUGAUCAUUUCGCAAGCCUCUCUCUUCAAACACAUUUUAUUACAUAGGAUAGGAUAGCCAGUUUACAUCAGCAUCAAAACCAUGUCCAGAAUUAUGUCAUAUCCUUGAAAAGCCCUAAAAAAACCUUCAAAAACUAUAAUUGUUAUAGGCGUUGAUGCGAGUGUUUGUCAGAAAACCACUUAGAUUGCUUUAAAUUUAAAACUUCUAUUAAAGUGAGAUUUAAGUUCUUUUCUAUUACUCAUAUUUUAUUAAAUUUUGCUUUUGCUUUUGCUUUUGCUUUGUUUAUAUCAAUACACAACACUCCCCUCCGCUGCUUCAGAAUGGGGAGGAAUGGGUUGUAUUGGUAUGUUCUCUCUGUGUUUCUGGAGGUGAGAAGUUCAAUAGACAGCCUAUCCUAGGGUUUGGCUUCCUUUAGAAUAUUACCAUACUGUUAAUAUUUGAGUUUAUUUUAAAAAUUACAAGUAGAGCAUAAGUAGAGGCAAACAUCUUGAGAUAUCCUACAGGGUGCCUCCCAGCCUCCAGCACACUGCUUUGCUUUAUCUGUGUGUCAAGGUAGAGUCUUUCUCACUGUCCUCAAAAGUGUUUCCUUUCUCUUUUCAAAAAAUGCUUACCUUCUUCCACUAGACUGGCAAAAAAGCACAUCACCAAAAUAAGAGCAAAUAGAUUACCGAAGAAAGAGGACAAAAAGAGAGUAUGGAUUUGUGAGGAAUUUGCAUGUGCUACUUUUUAUGCACAGUAAAUCUACAUAUGUAGAAAUAUAAGCCUGGAUUCUAAGCACUCCUUCCAUUGGCAGAGGGAACCAGGAUCAAAAAGUAAAGUUCCUGACACCCACAAAAGUUUUCUUUAGGAAGACCCCCAAAAUUGUUGAGCCUACCCCAAAAAUAAUGAUUUUAAGCUUUUGGAGCUGUUUCCAUUGUGUUGCCGAUUUGGCAAUAUUUCCCCUUGAUGCCAUUUCUACACCUGAAAACCAGGACAUGUCAGGAAAAUUCCUAGCCAUGACAAGCCUAGCCAUAUUAGGUGUGCUAGGCAGAGGCAAAGCAGGUGUUGAGCAGUUCUGCCUUAUCUCUGUCACCCAGUAGCAUCAGGUAAGUAGCUGUGUUGGUCUGACGCAGUCU